rnacentral:rRNA from 1 species
GUCGAGCAAGGAGAGGAGCAGAAGAGACAAUAGGGUUCUUGUCUUGGUUGGUGUGGGUGGAGAGAGAGGGGGGUUCUUGUCUCGUACCGGCGGCGACGGAGCUAGACGGGACAGGUCCGUAGAGGCCGCUGUGUCGCCUGUGGAUGUCUAAGAGGAGCAGAGGGAGAUAGUAAAGGGGGAUAAAUAAACUAGGCGGCGGUGGUGUUUACAGCGGUGGUAAGUUAGGAUCCCGGCGGACCAAGUCCAGGUCACCCGAGUGGUGGCCGACGUCGCCGCUGUUACAGAGGUACGGAUGUAGGAGGGGAUCACGUCGGUGUGCGUGCUCCGCACCUGGGUGCUGGCUUGGCCGCGGGGAGGCCGUCGUACCAGCGAUGGCCGCAGGAUGGGCGGAAGCAGAUACGAUGAUGAGUUUCAUUUAUCUAGUUCCACUUUUCUACGAGUACCUGACUAAGUUUAGCUCCACUUCUAUCUGUUCUUCAGUUCGUUCUUCCCGAUUGUGUUGUUCCAUGAACUAAUCAUGGACCACCGCGUACGUUGGGUUUCCCGAAGUGGCGUCACUUCCUGUCGUCACACCGUCUUCCACUUUUCCGUUCACCACCCCCAUGAGGUCGCAUACACACACACACUCCAUCUUACCAGGUGUCACUUUCUCGACGAUAUCAAACCUCUCCGUAAUGUAGACCGUACGUACGCACUAAUCCGAACGUACGUACGGAGGUGAAGACAGAGAACACCCGACAUGAUCCCUAUUCACAUUAAAAGAACCGACCGGUAAUCAACCGUAAAUGAAACACACAUUCUUUUACUCUGUUCCUAAGUUAGUAUUUAAACACUUUAUAUACUUCGAAACCUCUUCUUAACAAAACAUUUCG